rnacentral:rRNA from 1 species
UACGAAGGGGGCUAGCGUUGUUCGGAAUUACUGGGCGUAAAGGGCGCGUAGGCGGUACUUCAAGUCAGGCGUGAAAGCCCCGGGCUCAACCUGGGAACCGCGCUUGAGACUGGAGAACUAGAGUUCGGGAGAGGAUGGUGGAAUUCCCAGUGUAGAGGUGAAAUUCGUAGAUAUUGGGAAGAACACCGAUGGCGAAGGCAGCCAUCUGGACCGACACUGACGCUGAGGCGCGAAAGCGUGGGGAGCAAACAGGAUUAGAUACCCGGUAGUCC